AGUGAACGCUGGCGGCAGGCCUAACACAUGCAAGUCGAACGGCAGCACAAGAGAGCUUGCUCUCUGGGUGGCGAGUGGCGGACGGGUGAGGAAUGCAUCGGAAUCUGCCCAUUUGUGGGGGAUAACCUCGGGAAACCGGGACUAAUACCGCAUACGACCUACGGGUGAAAGCAGGGGAUCUUCGGACCUUGCGCAGAUGGAUGAGCCGAUGCCGGAUUAGCUAGUUGGAGGGGUAAAGGCCCACCAAGGCGACGAUCCGUAGCUGGUCUGAGAGGAUGAUCAGCCACACUGGGACUGAGACACGGCCCAGACUCCUACGGGAGGCAGCAGUGGGGAAUAUUGGACAAUGGGCGCAAGCCUGAUCCAGCCAUGCCGCGUGUGUGAAGAAGGCCUUCGGGUUGUAAAGCACUUUUGUUGGGAAAGAAAAGCAGCCGGUUAAUACCCGGUUGUCAUGACGGUACCCAAAGAAUAGGCACCGGCUAACUUCGUG
rnacentral:rRNA from 1 species